rfam:Gloeocapsa sp. PCC 7428, complete genome.
GGGCAUGUAGCUCAGUGGAUAGAGCAUUAGAUUCCGGUUCUAAGGGACGGGGGUUCGAAUCCCUCCAUGCUCG